rnacentral:rRNA from 1 species
GCUCAGGAUGAACGCUAGCGGCAGGCCUAAUACAUGCAAGUCGAACGGUGAUAUUUAUAUCAUAGUGGCGCACGGGUGCGUAACACGUAUGCAACCUACCUAUUAUUGGGGGAUAGCCUUUGGAAACGGAGAUUAAUACCGCAUAAUACGAUUAACUGGCAUCGGUUGAUUGUUAAAGCAUUUGCGAUAAUAGAUGGGCAUGCGUCCAAUUAGUUAGUUGGUGUGGUAAUGGCUCACCAAGACGAUGAUUGGUAGGGGAUCUGAGAGGAUAAUCCCCCACACUGGCACUGAGAUACGGGCCAGACUCCUACGGGAGGCAGCAGUAGGGAAUAUUGGGCAAUGGGCGGAAGCCUGACCCAGCCAUGCCGCGUGCAGGAAGACGGCGUUAUGCGUUGUAAACUGCUUUUUUAUAGGAAGAAGGAUCCCUUGCGAGGGAAGGUGACGGUACUAUAAGAAUAAGCACCGGCUAACUCCGUGCCAGCAGCCGCGGUAAUACGGAGGGUGCAAGCGUUGUCCGGAUUUAUUGGGUUUAAAGGGUGCGUACGCGGUUUAUUAAGUCAGUGGUGAAAGUCGGUCGCUNCACGAUUGCAGUGCCAUUGAUACUGGUAGACUUGA